UUCCAGGUCUUCUGAAUCCAUAUGAUAGGUGUGUGUAAAAGAUAGACACACCUGUACACACACACACACACACACACACACACACACACACACACACACACACAUAUAUAUAUAUAGUACACACUAGUUAGUUAGUUAAUUAGUAAAUAGUAAAAAUAGAAAAGUAAGUAAUUUUAGGUUUAAGGUUGUUUGUUUGUUUGUUUGUUUUUACUAAAGAAAGUGAGACAGGUUGGCGCAACAUGAGAGUGAAUGAUGAUAGAAUUUUCAUUUUAAGGUGAACUCUCAUUAAAACAUGCAUUCAAUGAAAAGGGUAAUUAAAGUACAGUUUGCAUUUUGUUAAAUUGUACAGGCAAUUAGUUAAUCCUUAAAUGUUUAUUAUCUUAGUAUUUUGUACCAGAAUUGUUAUUGUUGGAAUCUUAGCACUCAGGAAAAAAAAAAAUACUGACAACCAGAGGGAUCCCCCCCCCCCCCCAUAAAAUACACAAAAUGUUGUAACAUUUGUACUGAACAAUGUGCAGUUAAAUUGAUAACACAGCAAAUAAUUUUUGUUUGUGUGUAGCUCACAGCGGGCAGUUUACUUUCCAGCUCGCUUAUUUGGUACAACACAUCUGUCACGAGAUCUCUUGGGUAUGUCCUCAGUUCUGAAUCAACUUUUUGAUGAAUUCUUAAUAUUUUCACUCUGACAAUAACACUUACUCUUUAUGAGAAUGAGUCCUACAUGAAAAAUCUUAUCCAAAACAUCCAGAAAACACCAGAGACUUCAAAGGCUGACAAUGAUAACAGGAAGAUCUGGGAAGAGGAACACCAGAUAUCACACAGUUCUACAGCAAUGGGAAACAAUGGUCUAUAUCCAUGCUCACAGGAUUGGUUGCUCAAGUCUCCUGUCCUAUCUUCCUCAGUCAAGUGCAGGUAUGAUGUUGUAGAUCCAGCUUUGACACACAGGACAGUUGAAGGCCUCACGCAGAAUUCAUAAAACAUUGCAAACAUCUGAUGCUUGAGGAGGCAAGGCACAAAGGUAAAGUGUGCCGCUGUCAACAGUGACGUGGUGGGGUUCCUGCAGCAUGCAGCCGUGGAUGUGAUUCACGAGUAAAUAAAUAAAAGAUAAGGACCUGAGCUUCAGAGCCAUUAAAGCUGUGACAUUAUAUAAGCAUAGAGUCUUUCUUUUCUUUAUUUAAUGGAUCAGCAUGUGCUCGACCCCUAACCAAAAUGCAUUUUGUGUUUUGCAAGUCAUGUGAGCUGUUGCAAUCUGAAUUAUUUUUUCUUUUGUAAAAGGGAAGAUCAUAUACAGAAUACUGUAAUUAAUAAUAUUACUUACAGAAAUGCUUGCUGUAGUAACCUCUCAUACAAUGUUUAAAACAAAAGAUAUGUUUAAAUCAACAUUUUGAGUCAAAAUUAAAGGAAAAACCAUAAGUUCACUUAGGACUGAUCAUUAGCUAAGGAUCUGGAAAUCAUGAAAAGGUAAAUGGCAGCUUAUGUGUCCCAGAUGAGAAGGAGGGCAAACGGUAAUCAUAAUUAGGCUUCCAGAAAUCAGUGAUGACACAGAUGUCUUCCCCAUUAUGAGUAUUCUGGUCAUUAGUGAAGAGCAGAAGGCAGCUGUUAGAGGUUUAUGGCACCAAGCCUCACUCACAGAGAAAGCAGUCUGUCUGGAGCCCGGAAGCAAUGUGAAGAUUAUUAGUCAUCAACGUGUGUAUCACAGCUCAAGUAUGUGAGAUAAAGCUCUUAAGAUGUUAGACUGGAUGUGUUUUUGGGGAGAAGUGGAAAUGUGAACGUUGUUUGUGGUUGUCAUCACUGCAUUUUUAAAACUGGAGGAAAAAGCAUGAAGUAAAGGUUUUCAAACCAGGAUCCAGUGGGGUGCAAGUGGGUGAUAAAUUGCGAAACAUUCACUUAAGAUAUUAAUGAAAUAUAUUUUCAGAAUAUUUACAUUUAGAUUCACCAAAUUUUAUUGUAUUACUUUGCCAUUUUUCUUUCUAAUGAAUGGUCAGAAAUCAUAAGAUUAAUUGUGAUGGUUUUAUAAUGUUGAAAGACAGGUUUUUUUAACAACUGCAUAUAAUUAAAAAACAGUAAAUAUUUUCCAGAUAAUAUUUUACAACUUGCUGUAUUGCAAUAACUAUAUAAAAGCCGGUUAUUUAACAUUUUCUUUGCAGUAUUUCACAUAGGACUUUGGUCAAGCAGUAUAUGAAAAAAAAAAAACUUACCCACAGCAUUUUUGAGUUCUGUGUGUACUAUAGUGCUUGUGGUGGUCCACAUUCUCAUACUUCUAUAAAUGUAGAAGACCAAUUGCAUUUCUUGAGCAGGCCAUUAUAAGCCCAUUACUAUUGAAUUAGCAUUUCAAUUUCCAGAUGAAGUGGGACUAACUAUACUAAUGAAUGGCUUGCAGAUUUAUGACAAAUUUAUGACUGGCUUUGUUACAGCAUCAUAUCCUAAGGACACCAUCCAGACACAGCCUUGCUAGCAAAACAGACUAAACCCACAUCAAUCUGCCAGGACAACAGGUCCUGUGCCUGUAGCAUCAGUAAAGUACAGUAGGGUGCAUAAUUUUGUCAGUAAUGAACCAAACCAUUGUGUUUGUCAGAGUUUGCUGACUGUUAUUGUCACCUCUCUUUCCUCAUCUCUCCUCUCCACUUGAGAUGUAGACUGAACGGGACAGUUGCACUUUUGAUUAAGUUGCACUUAAACACUUGGUGUUGAUAAGUCAUAUCAAUCUCUUUUAAUGGACUCUAAAUGGUCUCUCGGCUUGGCAAUAAGCACUGCAGGACUGUAUCCGUUCUCAUGUUCAUGUAAUUAGAUAUGAGAGAAUGAUAGAAAGAGGCAGGUGUGCUCUGGUGUGUCAGUAAACAAAUUUAGAAGACCCUACAGGAAGGUUAAGGCUAGAAGGGAUACGUACUGUGCUAGGCAUGCGCACAUCAAUACAGCGUAAUUUUUGUCACACUGUACCACAAUAAUUAUGAUUUUUUCAUUCUUGUAAGGGGUAGGUUUAAGGUUGGAGUAGGUGUAGAAGUUAAUAAAACACAAUCUAAUAGGUAGAAAAUUAAAUUUAUUGUUAGCUUCUGGUCGGAGAUGUAUCCCUUCUAACCACAACUCUACAGGAAGGAGGAGGACAUAGGAAGAGACUGUAGGCUCAAUUUUGAAUUUGCAUGUGCUUUAGCUGGACCAGCUUGUAAAAUGCAGUGUGUGUGUGUGUGUGUGUGUGUGUGUGUGUGUGUGUGUGUGUGUGUGUGUGUGUGUGUAGAAGAGAGGAGGAUAGAGUGUGUGUGUGUGUGUGUGUGUGUGUGUGUGUGUGUGUGUGUGUGUGUGUGUGUGUGUGAAAGAGAGAGGGAUAGAUGAGCUUAAGAAGCACAAUUCAUGAUUCCAUUGUUUUCACAUUUUAUGCAUGAGUCUUAUUAUUGAUACUUAUUUUGGCCUUUCUCCAUUCCUGCAUUAUAUUUACUUAAAUGGAUAUUGGGGAUAUUCUGCUGUAUUAGACAAAUGGAUGCUGAAGCAUCUUGACUUCCUGUAAGAUGGAUGGGUUAUGAUUCUAAUUUAAUCACAAUAUCAGAGUCCUGAAGAACAAGCACAGGGACCAGCGUCUAAACUUUGAUUCAGGCCUUUUCUGCAACUUAUUCAUAUUAUGGUAAACUAUGUGUUCUCAGUAUAAGAGAAAAUACUAAUCAGCUAGAACAGAAAUAUUCAACCACAACUUUUCCACCACAUAUCAAUGUAUGUAUUGUCUGUGAUAUUAUUCUGUGCUGGAAAUGACAGCUAUGGAAAUUGCAUUGUAAACAUUUGUAUUUAUUUAUUUAUUUAUUUAUUUAUUUUUAUAGAAAAUCAUAAAUGCACAUAAAUUAAUAUAUUUUCACUCUUUUAUGAAUAAUGUGACAAAAUUACACCUUGAUUGGACAUGAUGUACAAUAAAAUAUGUUCAUUGUGAUAUUUAUUUUGUUUUUUCUUUAGCUCAAUCAUCUAAUGUCUCAUUUUCAUCUUAAGCUUAUUCUUCACUGACACUGUUUUUUCCUUUGUAAAUGAGUACAUUAAAUAAUAACAAAAAUUAACCCUCAGUACAUAAAAUAUGGAAGUAAUGUUUGAUGUGAAGACAAAUGGGAAGACAAACUGCAUUGUCUGCUUAUCGUUUACACAUGCAGCAGCUUGAGCCAGUGACUCAUUCUCUGUCUCUCUCGCGCUCUUAUAAUGUUUAGACAGAGAAAUUCAAACAGGUACAGAACAAUAAAACUCGCUAGAGAGAGCUGCUAUCACACUGUAAGCACUGUUUUACAGGGGUUUAAUGAAGUCGGAUUGUUUUUCAAAAGCUGCACAAAAUUUAGGUUCACCUAAUUUGAAUACAUUUGUUCAACAGCUUGAGCAAAAUGACUCUUUCACACAUCUUCUCUCUCCCCAUCUUUCUUUCCCUUUCACACUUGUACAUCCUGUAUUCCUCCAAUACAUUCCCUAGUGUGAUCAUUAAAGCAAAAUCGAGAAGUGAACUGCGAGUAAGGUUACCAUAGGAACUGAUUGGCGGGCCAUGUUUUGGACUCUAUUCAUAUACUAGGCAUUAGGAGGAUUUUGCAGCCCAUUGCCUGGUUUCAUUAGAGGCUAAUAUCGGUCGGGAUGAGCCUACUGCUUGGCCAGAAGAGAUGGUUGCUAGGCGGACAUGCAUGCUGUGUGGGAGUGCUGUAAGCUGCCUUGAGAUCACCUUCUUUGGAGUCUUUUCUUACCAAAAAAAAAAGGUAAAUUAUUUUUUUUUACUAAAUGUGGCUUUGCUUUGCUAGCCAAAGCAGACAAUGAGUUAUGAGCUGCUCAGAAUUUAAGUUCACCUCAUUUGAAUACAUUUGUUCAACAGCUUGAGCACAAUGACUCAUUCACACGUCUUCUCCCCCCCCCCAUAUUUCUUUCCCUU
rnacentral:lncRNA from 1 species